GUGGCGCUUUCCUCGCUCUCAGCGUAAGCGCAAGCUACUUGGCAAGUAGAUUCGUUAAGCGUGGCGCUUGCACACGCACCCACAGACACAAUAUACCGUUUCGCACCCUUGCCCCAUCAAUAAGCCAGCGCUAAGGAGACCCUCACCAAAGUACGAAGGACAGGCAAGGCAAAGGGCAGAGCACUCCGUUGAAUUGGACUUAAUCAUUUUUUUUGCUGUUGAUUCUUUCCUCUCACGUCUCACUUCUCGUUUAUCCGUGCCCGUCUCUCUCUUUUCCCUCACCUUCCCCCCCCCCAGCCAGCAUCCUCUCCGUUGCAGACGGAAGGCGUCCAAGCCGCGCACCUUUCGCACAGAUACACAGUUGACUCGAAAAGCGUGCACGAUCUGUGCGGGUCGCCUCAUCAAAGCAGCCACAAGCGGAAACGGGGCAGUAUUCCCCGCCACAACCACCACCUUCUGCUUCGCGUUUUUUUGUGUCUCUGCAGCAGAGCGAUCUUUUAUUAUUUUUGACAAGAGCUGUCCAGUGAACCGAUCGUUUUGAGAGAGAAGCAUCCACGGCAUCAACAAGACCCCGACCGGCCAACGUCCGCGCACCCUCGUCCCCCCCCUCCUCCUAAGCUCGUGUGGGACAUUUUUUUUUGCGACCCCGCUCUCCCUCAUUCACCAUGGAAUCCUGCAACAGCCGCAACGGCUCCCUCCGCGUAGUGCACGGCAACGCAAACCCGAAGCUCGCCGAGGACGUGUGCCGCUACCUCAGCAUCCCCGUCACCGCCAGCCGCGUCGGAAGCUUUGCUAACGGGGAGACGAUUGUGAAGAUCCUCGAGUCGAUCCGCGGCGAUGACAUCUUCGUCAUUCAGCCGACCUGCGGCAACGGCGCCGGCACGAACGUGAAUCAGGCGGUGAUGGAGCUGUUGCUGAUCAUUCACACCCUGAAGCUGUCGUCGGCGCGCCGCGUGAUUGCCGUGAUUCCGCACUACGGAUACGCUCGCCAGGACCGCAAGCACACGGGCCGCGUGCCCAUCAGCGCGUCCGCCGUGGCGCGGAUGGUGACGGAGAUGGGCGUCAACGGCGUCGUGACGAUGGACCUGCACUGUGGCCAGAUUCAAGGCUUCUUCCACGGGUGCCCGGUGGCGGACCUCAGCCCCAGCUCUGAGUUUGCCGAGUACGUCAAACAGAAGAACUUCACUCCGAGCAACUUGGUGGUUGUGGCACCAGACGCCGGAGCGGUGAACCGGGCACGCCGCAUGUGUGACCGCAUCGGCGCCAGUCGCAUCGUCACAAUUCUAAAGCGCCGCGUCGUGGCCAACCAGGUCGAGUCGAUGCAGCUGGUCGGCGAGGUCGACGAGUGUGUGUGCAUCAUCGUGGAUGACAUGAUCGACACGGCCGGCACGCUGUGUAAGGCGGCGGAGGUGCUGAAGGAGUACGGUGCGAAAGAAGUGCACGCCUAUGCGACGCACGGCAUCUUCACCGACCCCGCGUGUGAGCGCCUCACGCAGUGCGAUGCGUUGGUCGAGGUGGUGGUUACGGAUAGCAUUCCGCAAGAGGAGUCCCGCCAGAAGUGCAAGAAGAUUAAGGUCAUUUCCAUCGCAAAGCUUCUGGCCGAUGCCAUUUACCGCAUGCACUCGGAGGAGAGUCUUGAGACGGUGGGGCAGCCGGAGCACUUCAUGCCGAAGCAUGAAGAUGACCUGCAGGUGCUCGAGUCCCUUGUAGAGGAGGAUGAGUGGUCGCGUUGUAACGAGUAACACCCACGGAAGCGCGCGAAGAAUGAAAAAAAAAAACGAUAACACACACACACACACACACACCUAUGUAUGUUUCGUUUUCUAAGCAAGGUGGUGCGAGAGAGAAAGAGACAACGACGGUGAAACGGGUGUGAGGACAUGUCGCUUGUGUGACAGGCGUUGCACGUCUUCAGAGGAAGAGCAACCCAAUACACACACACGAGGAGAAGGAACGCCUGACUGCGGGUUCUCGCUCUCUCUCUCUCCCCCUCCCCCCAUCGCAGCAUGACCUGGGCACACGUC
rnacentral:misc_RNA from 1 species